rnacentral:rRNA from 1 species
ACAAGCGGUGGAGCAUGUGGUUUAAUUCGAAGCAACGCGAAGAACCUUACCAGGUCUUGACAUCCCCUGACAACCCGAGAGAUCGGGCGUUCCCCUUCGGGGGACAGGGUGACAGGUGGUGCAUGGUUGUCGUCAGCUCGUGUCGUGAGAUGUUGGGUUAAGUCCCGCAACGAGCGCAACCCUCGACCUUAGUUGCCAGCAUUCAGUUGGGCACUCUAAGGUGACUGCCGGCUAAAAGUCGGAGGAAGGUGGGGAUGACGUCAAAUCAUCAUGCCCCUUAUGACCUGGGCUACACACGUGCUACAAUGGGCGGUACAAAGGGUCGCGAACCCGCGAGGGGGAGCCAAUCCCACAAAGCCGGUCGUAGUCCGGAUCGCAGUCUGCAACUCGACUGCGUGAAGUCGGAAUCGCUAGUAAUCGCGGAUCAGCAUGUCGCGGUGAAUACGUUCCCGGGUCUU